rnacentral:misc_RNA from 1 species
UUUUUCAUUGCUUGUUUUAUCUGACAAUACAAAUUUGGAGGUAAAACUCCGGCGAGCUCGCGCCGGCAGAAUUGAUCUUCCGCCAACGGCUGUUUCCAACGUCUCGCCGAAGCAACGUCGAAUAGUCAAGGGUGGGAGUUCCUUUCGGAGUCUCGGUAAUGAUCCUUCCGCAGGUUCACUGUGAAUGUUAGCUGGAGUUGGGAAGUAGAGGAGAAACAUACCCUACGGAAA